GGGCCCGCACAAGCAGUGGAGCAUGUGGUUUAAUUCGAAGCAACGCGCAGAACCUUACCACCACUUGACAUUACCAUCGCGAUUUCCGGAGACGGAUUUCUUCAGUUCGGCUGGAUGGAUAACAGGUGCUGCAUGGCUGUCGUCAGCUCGUGUCGUGAGAUGUUGGGUUAAGUCCCGCAACGAGCGCAACCCUCGCCUUUAGUUGCCAGCAGUUCGGCUGGGCACUCUAGAGGAACCGCCGGUGAUAAGCCGGAGGAAGGUGGGGAUGACGUCAAGUCCUCAUGGCCCUUACGUGGUGGGCUACACACGUGCUACAAUGGCAGUGACAAUGGGUUAAUCCCAAAAAGCUGUCUCAGUUCGGAUUGUCGGCUGCAACUCGCCGGCAUGAAGUUGGAAUU
rnacentral:rRNA from 1 species